UUUCCGUAGGUGAACCUGCGGAAGGAUCAUUGUCGAAACCUGCCCAGCAGAACGACCCGCAAACUUGAAUCAACAACUGGGUGCCGGGGGCGUUCUCGCCCCGUGCCCCCGAACGGCGGGUAGACACUCGUGCCUUCUUUCCGAACAACGACCCCCGGCGCGUUCUGCGCCAAUGAACUUCAAAUAAAGAGUGCCUCCGAUCGCCUCGGAAACGGCGUGCGUGACGGAGGCGAUUCUUGUGCAAAACCAUAACGACUCUCGGCAACGGAUAUCUCGGCUCUC
rnacentral:misc_RNA from 1 species